CCUAAUACAUGCAAGUCGAGCGGACAUUUGGGAGCUUGCUCCCAAAUGUUAGCGGCGGACGGGUGAGUAACACGUGGGCAACCUGCCUGUAAGACUGGGAUAACUUCGGGAAACCGGAGCUAAUACCGGAUAACAUAUGAGACCACAUGGUCUUAUAUUAAAAGAUGGCUUUUAGCUAUCACUUACAGAUGGGCCCGCGGCGCAUUAGCUAGUUGGUGAGGUAACGGCUCACCAAGGCGACGAUGCGUAGCCGACCUGAGAGGGUGAUCGGCCACACUGGGACUGAGACACGGCCCAGACUCCUACGGGAGGCAGCAGUAGGGAAUCUUCCGCAAUGGACGAAAGUCUGACGGAGCAACGCCGCGUGAGCGAAGAAGGCCUUCGGGUCGUAAAGCUCUGUUGUUAGGGAAGAACAAGUAUCGUUCGAAUAGGGCGGUACCUUGACGGUACCUAACCAGAAAGCCACGGCUAACUACGUGCCAGCAGCCGCGGUAAUACGUAGGUGGCAAGCGUUAUCCGGAAUUAUUGGGCGUAAAGCGCGCGCAGGCGGUCCUUUAAGUCUGAUGUGAAAUCUCGCGGCUCAACCGCGAGCGGUCAUUGGAAACUGGGGGACUUGAGUGCAGAAGAGAAGAGCGGAAUUCCACGUGUAGCGGUGAAAUGCGUAGAGAUGUGGAGGAACACCAGUGGCGAAGGCGGCUCUCUGGUCUGUAACUGACGCUGAGGCGCGAAAGCGUGGGGAGCGAACAGGAUUAGAUACCCUGGUAGUCCACGCCGUAAACGAUGAGUGCUAAGUGUUAGAGGGUUUCCGCCCUUUAGUGCUGCAGCAAACGCAUUAAGCACUCCGCCUGGGGAGUACGGUCGCAAGACUGAAACUCAAAGGAAUUGACGGGGGCCCGCACAAGCGGUGGAGCAUGUGGUUUAAUUC
rnacentral:rRNA from 1 species